GAGGGUGUAGCUCAGUGGUAGAGCGUGUGCCUAGCAUGCAUGAGGUCCUGGGUUCAAUCCCCAGCGCCUCCA
rnacentral:tRNA from 1 species